rnacentral:rRNA from 1 species
AUACGGAGGGUGCGAGCGUUAAUCGGAAUUACUGGGCGUAAAGCGUGCGUAGGCGGUUUGCUAAGUCAGAUGUGAAAGCCCCGGGCUUAACCUGGGAACUGCAUUUGAUACUGGCAGACUAGAGUAUGAUAGAGGGGGGUAGAAUUCCUGGUGUAGCGGUGAAAUGCGUAGAUAUCAGGAGGAAUACCAGUGGCGAAGGCGGCCCCCUGGAUCAAUACUGACGCUGAGGUACGAAAGCGUGGGAGCGAACAGGAUUAGAAACCCUAGUAGUCC